rnacentral:rRNA from 1 species
UACGGGGGGGGCAAGCGUUGUUCGGAAUUACUGGGCGUAAAGGGCUCGUAGGCGGCCAACUAAGUCGGAUGUGAAAUCCCCAGGCUCAACCUGGGAAACUGCAUCCGAUACUGGAUGGCUAGAGGUUGGGAGAGGGAUGCGGAAUUCCGAGGUGUAGCGGGUGAAAUGCGUAGAUAUCUGGAGGAACACCGGGUGGCGAAGGCGGCAUCCUGGACCGGCAUUGACGCUGACGGCGCGAAAGCCAGGGGAGCAAAGCGGG